GUAUUGGGAUUGGAGUCAAGUUUAUAGUCAAGAAAGAUAAUAUAAUUUACACGUCUAUUAAUACAAUAUAAUACCAAACACAAUACUAUAAAAUACAAUCCAGAUGUCAAACAAGCCCUUAUUGAAUAUGUUUUUAUUUACUUGUUUACCAAACUAACCAAAGAUCAAUCGAUCACUAAUGAAAGUUAUAUAUUUAGAUAGUAUUUGUUUAAUCUUUUACUUUAUUUUCGGAACUCAAAUCGCUAGCUAAGUCAAUUAGUUUAUCACAAGUUAAUCUUGUCUUACUCUGUUCAUCUCCAUAGAUAUAACUCUGUUAUUAACAACAAAAGAUAAGUUAUAUAUAUAGGUCCAAACUGGUAUGAUUUCGUACUUUUAGUGUAUUUUUGUUUUUAAAUGAGUUGUAUACAAACAUAAGACAAUACUAUACAACCGUAUAUAACAAUCACCAUAUCCCAAAAGGUCAAACUCACUCACUCAUUAUUAUUAUUAUUAUUAUUAUAUAUGGUUGGGAUAUUAUUAAUAAAUUUAACACACAAAAAAAGAAUAAGUUCCCGUGACCCUUAGCUAGCCUAAUAGUGCCAAUUCUCAUUCACGGGUUUUCAAACUUGUGGUUUACAAUCUUUCCAAUCUCUCUCCUCCCUACACUACACAUAUAUAAAUACACUAACAUCAAAUUAAUUGAACAAUACUAUCAAAGGAGUAAGUUAAUAAUAAAGAAGAGAUAAUUUUUUAAGAUAUGGAGAUGAAAAUGGCAACAAUGGUGAUUAUGGCAAUAGUACUUAUUGUGUCAUCUAUGUUUGAAGUGUCUAGUGCUGCAGGCAUAUGCAACAUGAGUGAGGAUGGCCUCAACACUUGUCGACCGGCUGUCACCGCAUCUAACCCCGUUCCCCCUACCCAAACCUGUUGCGACGCUUUAAAAAGCGCCGAUUUACAGUGCUUCUGUGAUUACAAAAAUAGCAGCCCUUUCCUACUCAGUGCUUUUGGCAUCGAUCCUACUCUCGCCAUGCAACUACCCGCUAAAUGCAACAUUCCAUCUCCUCCUAACUGUUAAUAAGGUGUGUGAACAAGACUGUAGGCCUUAUGUACCGUACGUGGCUUGGUGUUGAAUUAUUAUUAUUAUCUCAUUUGGUUUUAUGAUAUGUAAUUUGAAUUGUAUUAAUUUCUAAUUGUGUGCGUGUGAGUGUGUGUUUGUAAUAUGUAAUAUUCUGCUUUACAUACAUAGAAAUGCCAAGAUUUCUACGUUGUAAUGUGUGAAAUGACUAUCUUAUCACUUAAUGAAAGUUAUCGUUUGUUAUGAAAUGCAA